rnacentral:rRNA from 1 species
CACGGCCCAGACUCCUACGGGAGGCAGCAGUGGGGAAUAUUGCACAAUGGGCGCAAGCCUGAUGCAGCAACGCCGCGUGAGGGAUGACGGCCUUCGGGUUGUAAACCUCUUUUAGCAGGGAAGAAGCGAAAGUGACGGUACCUGCAGAAAAAGCACCGGCUAACUACGUGCCAGCAGCCGCGGUAAUACGUAGGGUGCAAGCGUUAUCCGGAAUUAUUGGGCGUAAAGAGCUCGUAGGCGGUUUGUCGCGUCUGCUGUGAAAUCUGGGGGCUCAACCCCCAGCCUGCAGUGGGUACGGGCAGACUAGAGUGCGGUAGGGGAGAUUGGAAUUCCUGGUGUAGCGGUGGAAUGCGCAGAUAUCAGGAGGAACACCGAUGGCGAAGGCAGAUCUCUGGGCCGUAACUGACGCUGAGGAGCGAAAGGGUGGGGAGCAAACAGGCUUAGAUACCCUGGUAGUCCACCCCGUAAACGUUGGGAACUAGUUGUGGGGUCCAUUCCACGGAUUCCGUGACGCAGCUAACGCAUUAAGUUCCCCGCCUGGGGAGUACGGCCGCAAGGCUAAAACUCAAAGGAAUUGACGGGGACCCGCACAAGCGGCGGAGCAUGCGGAUUAAUUCGAUGCAACGCGAAGAACCUUACCAAGGCUUGACAUAUACGAGAACGGGCCAGAAAUGGUCAACUCUUUGGACACUCGUAAACAGGUGGUGCAUGGUUGUCGUCAGCUCGUGUCGUGAGAUGUU